UAUUUACCUAUUUUAUCCCAAGAUAAGUUAUCCCGUGAUUAAUAUAUCAUCUAAGAAGAGGUUUACUUAUUCCGGUACUAUGAAUUAAUUCUGAGAUAAAUUAUUCUAGAAUUAUCAACCAAAUACCAAUUUAAAUGUACUUAUAAUUUAAUCUCAAAAUUAUUUGUAUUAUUUUUCACAUCAAACGACCCUAAGAGUUCUGCCACAGUUUAAAUGUAUAUAAGUACUAUUUUGUGAGUAUUACUGCUUUAAUUGACACACAAAAAUAUAGCAGCCAGUGGGGGUAAAAGAUCUCCCACAGAAGGAAUCAAUCGUCUAGUUUGCACAUGUACACAUUCAUGUCCGCAAAUUUGCCGGUAGCCUGUUAAACUUUGUAUGGGGACCAGGUGUAAGAGAGUCAAAAGGCAAAUUGAAGAAGAGGUAGAUUUCUUGGAAGAUGGAGGAUGGUUUGGCAAACGAGAGACUCGUUGGGUGAUUUAGUUAGUUCAACACGGCUCACUUCACGGGACUUCUGGAUCUUAACCAAGAAAUGGAAUUUGAUGCCAAGCACUUCAAAUUGAAAAGGGUGGAAAAUUGUGAUGAAUAAAGCUGGGAUGACAGAGAAAAUAUAUAGAAAUAUGGUCCAUUGCCCAUUAAAUUGCAUGUGCAGAAUAUAUAUACACACACAUCCCUAUUCAUAAGAUAUGUUUAUGUAUUUUAUC